GAUGAACGCUGGCGGCGUGCCUAAUACAUGCAAGUCGAGCGAACAGAUGAGGAGCUUGCUCCUCUGACGUUAGCGGCGGACGGGUGAGUAACACGUGGAUAACCUACCUAUAAGACUGGGAUAACUUCGGGAAACCGGAGCUAAUACCGGAUAAUAUAUUGAACCGCAUGGUUCAAUAGUGAAAGACGGUUUUGCUGUCACUUAUAGAUGGAUCCGCGCCGCAUUAGCUAGUUGGUAAGGUAACGGCUUACCAAGGCAACGAUGCGUAGCCGACCUGAGAGGGUGAUCGGCCACACUGGAACUGAGACACGGUCCAGACUCCUACGGGAGGCAGCAGUAGGGAAUCUUGCGCAAUGGGCGAAAGCCUGACGAAGCAACGCCGCGUGAGUGAUGAAGGUCUUCGGAUCGUAAAACUCUGUUAUUAGGGAAGAACAAAUGUGUAAGUAACUAUGCACGUCUUGACGGUACCUAAUCAGAAAGCCACGGCUAACUACGUG
rnacentral:rRNA from 1 species